rnacentral:rRNA from 1 species
GAUGAACGCUGGCGGCGUGCCUAAUACAUGCAAGUCGAGCGAACGGACGAGAAGCUUGCUUCUCUGAUGUUAGCGGCGGACGGGUGAGUAACACGUGGAUAACCUACCUAUAAGACUGGGAUAACUUCGGGAAACCGGAGCUAAUACCGGAUAAUAUUUUGAACCGCAUGGUUCAAAAGUGAAAGACGGUCUUGCUGUCACUUAUAGAUGGAUCCGCGCUGCAUUAGCUAGUUGGUAAGGUAACGGCUUACCAAGGCAACGAUGCAUAGCCGACCUGAGAGGGUGAUCGGCCACACUGGAACUGAGACACGGUCCAGACUCCUACGGGAGGCAGCAGUAGGGAAUCUUCCGCAAUGGGCGAAAGCCUGACGGAGCAACGCCGCGUGAGUGGUGAAGGUCUUCGGAUCGUAAAACUCUGUUAUUAGGGAAGAACAUAUGUGUAAGUAACUGUGCACAUCUUGACGGUACCUAAUCAGAAAGCCACGGCUAACUACGUGCCAGCAGCCGCGGUAAUACGUAGGUGGCAAGCGUUAUCCGGAAUUAUUGGGCGUAAAGCGCGCGUAGGCGGUUUUUUAAGUCUGAUGUGAAAGCCCACGGCUCAACCGUGGAGGGUCAUUGGAAACUGGAAAACUUGAGUGCAGAAGAGGAAAGUGGAAUUCCAUGUGUAGCGGUGAAAUGCGCAGAGAUAUGGAGGAACACCAGUGGCGAAGGCGACUUUCUGGUCUGUAACUGACGCUGAUGUGCGAAAGCGUGGGGAUCAAACAGG